rnacentral:tRNA from 1 species
GCCCCGCUGGCUCAGUGGUGGAGAAUGUGACUCUUGAUCUCAGGGUCGCGAGUUCAAGCCCCACGUUGGGCA